ACGAGCACGUCAGCGUGAAGGGCGGCGACGGCUGUGCAACAUCAAGGAAUCCCGACGUACGGCAGGCGGAGCGAAUAAAACCGAACAAACAACAACAACAAUGAGAACAAAACGGUACCAAAGCAAAUUAGCCCAAAAGAUGAAUGGCUUCAGGGACCACCGGACAGAACCGGGGCGCCCGAGUGAACUUUUCAAAUGAGGACAUAGGAGGCGGGCUGCCACGGAUAAGAGGUGGAGAACAGGACUGCACCCGAGCACUCUGGAUUCCAUCUUGGGGUACCUGACUGAGACGGACAGACGCCUGGUCCUCAUCAAGCGCUCAUCAGGUCAGCACCCCGGCCAUGGGGUCCUCGGACCAAUCCCAAGACGAGGAAAACCACGAGGCCUUUGCCUCUCACACAUAUUUCCUGUCUCUGAAAUGAGACAACAGGGGGACGGGAGAGGAACCGACAAAGAGCUGAUGUUGACGGGAUGAACCAAGACUCGAAAAGAACCAAAUGUACCCGAAACGAUGCUGCCAGGACUGGUUUCUGAUGGGGGGGUUGGACAAGUCAAUGCAUGCACAGCUCAUCCGCUUAUCGACAGCUCGCAGCGUUGCCCCAGAACUCCAUCAACAGUGUCACGGACCCACAAGAAGGAAAUUACCAGCUGGUUGUGGACAAGAAGCUUGUUGGACGAUUGCAGGCAAAGACGCCGGAAACUUUGAAGUGGAAACUUUGCAUGUUUCUUGAAUGUUAUGACAAAAUAACUUUUUACCUUUAUUUAAUUUUCCUUUAACCCACCGCAGAAAUUGUUGUGAUUUGAUUUAAAAUAAUGUACAAUGGAGUGAACACCACAACAAAUAAAAAAAAAUAGCAAACCAAUGACUCUAAUGUACUCUGACCUAACGGAGUGCCGCCUUAACCACAAUGACACAAAUCCAACUCUUUAUUGCAUAACACCAGAAGAACACAAUGAACACAAUAAAGGCCAUGAAGCUCGCAGCGGUGACGGGGAAACAAAAAUCACCCGCAGUUCGAUUGAAUGUGCCGCGUUGACCCGGAGGGCGUUAGAAAGGUCACCAGGUGUUCUUCCAUAUUCGAGGAGGCCACCUGUGUCAAGCAAAGUACAUUGUCCUUUACUCAAGAGUCGAACUUGAAUAAGUCACCAAAGAGCAUCUUGUGUUGAUAAGGGUUAGUAUUGUGUAUGAGGAACUGAUACUGCAUGUUUUCAAUGGUUUCAAAUAAUGGCCAUUUUAAAUUGGGAGAGAUCCAAACUGAAAUGUUUCCCUUGAACCAGCAUCGGUAUUACUCAUUAUACGUGUCAUUUUGUUAUGUAUGCUAUACUAUGAAUUAUACCGAGUAAUUACAGAUCGAAUCAUAAGCAUGAAGUCAAAUGAUUUCUCUCCUUUCUCUGCCGUUAUUACCAUGUGUGCAUUCGCUGAUAUUUCUUCCAGUGACUUAACGUUUGGCCGGAUAAAAUAAACAUUCUAAAAAGUG